GGAGAGGUGCUAGAGUGGUUUAAUAGGCACGCCUGGAAAGCGUGUGUACCUUGUAAAAGGUACCGCGGGUUCGAAUCCCGCCCUCUCCGNCA
rnacentral:tRNA from 1 species